rnacentral:rRNA from 1 species
UAGGGAAUCUUCGGCAAUGGGGGCAACCCUGACCGAGCAACGCCGCGUGAGUGAAGAAGGUUUUCGGAUCGUAAAGCUCUGUUGUAAGUCAAGAACGAGUGUGAGAGUGGAAAGUUCACACUGUGACGGUAGCUUACCAGAAAGGGACGGCUAACUACGUGCCAGCAGCCGCGGUAAUACGUAGGUCCCGAGCGUUGUCCGGAUUUAUUGGGCGUAAAGCGAGCGCAGGCGGUUUGAUAAGUCUGAAGUUAAAGGCUGUGGCUCAACCAUAGUUCGCUUUGGAAACUGUCAAACUUGAGUGCAGAAGGGGAGAGUGGAAUUCCAUGUGUAGCGGCGAAAUGCGUAGAUAUAUGGAGGAACACCGGUGGCGAAAGCGGCUCUCUGGUCUGUAACUGACGCUGAGGCUCGAAAGCGUGGGGAGCGAACAGGAUUAGAUACCCUGGUAGUCCACGCCGUAAACGAUGAGUGCUAGGUGUUGGAUCCUUUCCGGGAUUCAGUGCCGCAGCUAACGCAUUAAGCACUCCGCCUGGGGAGUACGACCGCAAGGUUG